UUUAUUUUUUUCCUUUUGAUUUGUAGAACAACUCUUUCCUUUUGAUUUGUAGAACAACUUCACAUAGAAGAUUUGGAGAACUUGUUGCACGAGAGCUUGCUACUUACUUUCAACACAGAUAUUGAAGAUGGCAGCAUUGAGGAAGUCGCGGAGCAAUUGAUGAUUAUUCAUGAAGAAUUCUUGCAAGGAAGUUAUGCAUUAAUGAACAAAAGAGUAAUUGAAAUCAAAAACCUUAGAAGAACAAGUUCAUCUUCAUAGUUCACAGGUACAGGUAGCAUGCCGCCUCUAAGGACAUAGCUUGGGAGGCUAGGGGCAGGACAUACUUU